GUUGAAACACCGGUUCCCCUACGAUCACUGAAGUUAAGCAGCGUUGACCUUGGUCAGUACCUAGAUAGGUGACCACUUGGGAUUACCAAGU